GGAAUGCCCAACACCUGUGCUGAGCUGUUAGAAGAGGUUAUAAAAGCUGGCAAAAGGGUAAACCAGCUGCUCAUAACUUCAGAAUUCAGCACAGAGUGAAUUAUCACUGACAUGGAACACAAAUGGACUUCAGUCAAGUUCCAACUUUAAGCACUGGGUCUGAGGAGACUUCUUAAAUGCACUGAUUGAGGGCAUCAUUGGAUCUGGAGCUCACAGUGAGACACAAGUAGCAGAGACCUCCCCCACCCGGAGUCUGGAUCCUGGAGAAAGCUAAAUGGAGGUGUCCUGUGCGCUGGGACAGUGUAGACUGCUGUGCCCAAAGCAGGGAGUAAAGUCUUCUGCAUCUGCAAGUAACAUAUGGCUAGCACAGAGCUGCAGCUUCAAGAGUUCCCUCCUACUCACAUCUCUCUCAGAGAGUUGGUGUGACUACCCCAAGAGAGAGUUCCUGCCAUCAGCUGUGGGUUGCCACUUGCUUGCUGGCUCUAACAGCACCACUGUCCUCAUCAGAGCAUGAGAUGUGACUUUGUGUCCAUGAGCAGAUGUGUUCCUUUGAAAACCAUCUGAAACAUUUGGCUGGUAGAGAGGCCGAUCAAACAGGUACAGAUAUGGACUAAAUACACUGUAAAGGAGACAGUGCUGGGGGUUAUCUAGACAGCCAAAGUUGUACUGUGGAUAAAAGAGUUCUUUUUUAUUCAUAUUCAGUCUAAUAUAUUAUGCAUUUU